rnacentral:rRNA from 1 species
AUGCAAUUAUUCAACGAUUGGAUCACGGAGCUGGGGCUCCGCGAGCUUGACCGUACAGGUGCCAGGUUCACUUGGACCAACCGGCAAUCUGUCCCGACACAAUCCGUGCUAGAUUGUGUCCUAGUGUCCCCGGAGUGGGAAUUGCGUUGCCCCUUGGCAUCGCUCCGGGCGGUCACCUGGAUUGGCUCCGAUCAUGUCCCCCUUCUCCUAUCCACCGCCGACGAGCGCCCCCCCUCCCCGCCGCGGUUCCGGUUCGAGCUCUUCUGGCUCAACCGAACCGGCUUCCGGGAGGCCGUCGUCGCCCGCUGGAUUUCCGCUAGGUCGGUGCCCCAUCGCUCCAUGUCCGCUGUCGACUCAUGGCACUUUUGUGCCAAGCUUGCCCGCCAGUUCAUGAAGGGUUGGGGGGCUAACCUUGGCCGGGACCUUAGAGAGCGCAAGAAGACCAUCCUGGUUGCUAUUCAAGCCCUGGAUGCUCGCGCGGACUCGACCGGGCUCUCCUCGGAUGAGUGGAUGCUACGUUACGACCUGGAGGACCAGCUCUCCACCAUCUACACGGAUGAGGAGGCCUACUGGCGCUUGCGUGGUACCCAGAGGUGGGUGCUACAGGGCGAUGCCAACACCGCCUAUUUCCAGGCGGUCGCGAACGGCCGGCGCCGUCGCAACUCCAUCCACUGCCUGUGGGAUGGAGACUCGCCAUUAGUUCUCCCCGCGGCCAUCCGCUCUCAUGUGGAUGGCUUCUAUCGAGCCUUAUUUACCCCCACCCCGCGGGGUGGGGCUAGUCUCGCCCCCGACAUUUGGUCGGGCGCGCACGUAGUCUCGGAUGAAGCCAAUGUGGCUUUGGUUGCCCCCUUUAGCGAGGACGAGGUCCUCGCUGCCAUUAAGGGGAUGAACCCCUCCUCGGCCCCGGGACCGGACGGUCUACCAGUGUCUUUCUUCAAGAUGUUCUGGCCUACCAUCAAGCUUGAGGUCAUGGCUCUCUUUGAGGAAUUCUACUCGGGCUCCAUGGACCUGGGGCGCCUUAAUUAUGGGGUUGUGACCCUCAUCCCCAAGGUCCCAGGCGCCUCCGAUAUUCGCUAG